GGGAGCCACCGGCCAGAUUGCUGCACGAAAUCGUGCGAUGGCGCGAUGCAAAAUUCGUGCAGCCUGGAGGAGGUGUGAUCCGCGUUAAUCGGGAACACGAAUUGUUGGCCGCUUGAAAAACCGAAAAGCCUGGAAAGUUUACACGGCGCAAACUUCGUCUCCUUUUGUUCGUCUACCUCACGAGCGAGAGAGAAACCAGAGCGAAGAAAGAUCGAGAGUGCGAGGGAGAGAGUUAGGCUGUCAUCCACCUUCAGCUAAUCGCCCCCAAUCCGGCCGGCCUUGAGCUUCCCUUCCAAAUCCGGCCGGCGGCAAUCCGAUUUCGAUUCCAACUUUGAUUCCUGAAUACCUCCUCAGAACCCCACAACCAAACAAGAUCGGGUCGAAUCGAAUCGAGUCGACGCGGAAGAGGAACUCAGAUGGCGGAUCUGGUGUCUCCGCCGGCUUACGACUCCGACGGCGAUACUGCCCAAAGGCCAACCUCUUCGGUGCUGGAAAAGUACGCCUACUUCGACAACCGCCAAAACGCCACAACGGCCGUCUGCGACCUCGACAAGGGAAGCAUCCAGGUGACCUUCUGCGUCGCACACCCGCCGCGCGCAUCCUACUUCUGCGUCUACACCACCCACUUCGCCCCCGCCCAAUUCGGCGCCGCGCCCCAGAUCCUGGCUACGGAAGGCCCCCUCGCCCUCAUCCGCGUCAUCAUCGGCCGUCGGAAAUCCUACUUCUCGCCCGGCGUCGGAGACUUGUUCGUCUACCACGCCGGCGGUGACCUGCCACCGUCGCUCAAGCGCCUCCCGAGCCCUGCGCCCCACUUCUUCGACGAUUCCUACGCUGCCAUCGUGCGCCACUGCCCUCGUCGCCGGUGCCCCCAACGACGAGGCAUCAAGGAGGACCACGACUGCAGCGACUGCAACUACGUCGUGGCCGCACGUCAAGGACCACACGCCAUACCAUUCCGGCUCCCAGUGCAAGGCCAUCACCAUCGGAGGAGAGGAAGGCACGGUGGCCUGGGCCAUUCUGGGCAAGUACACCAGGCGCAUCAUGUUCUGCGACGUCCUCGCCAUCACGGACACCAGCCCCCACCCCCCCGUGCUCCGCUUCCUCCACAUGCCGGGGAUGGAGUCGCCCGGGGAGUACACGGUCUGCCUUCAGGACAUUGACCUCCUCGACGACGGCUCCAUCGCCUACAUCGAGCUGCAGCUUACAGAAGAAUACACUUGGGAGGCCAACACAUGGAGGAUCAAGAUCGACCGUUCUUCGCCGCUGUCGUCCACCCAGUGGCAGUGGGAGUGCACCUUCCGAUCCUCGGACAUCUCCCAAUCCCUGCACGAUAGGCUGGAUGUCGGCGAUGCGGAGGCUGUCUUCUACGUAGGCCCGCCGAUCCUCAGCCUCCAAGACGACGGCAUUGUCUACAUCCUUACCAAGACCGACCCGGAGGACCCGUGCAAGUCAUGGUUGCUUGCCAUUGACAUGAAGAAGAACAAGGUGCAGCAAGUGCAAGAGCUUGUCGGCGACAGAGGAUUUUUUGUGUUCCAGCCCUACUUUACAACAACUAGUAUCUCCAAAUACAUCCAAGUUAUUAAUCCAGGAAAGCAAAAGGCAAAGCGACAAAAGAUGGUACCGUCGCAGUGCAAGAAGCUGGGCGGAGUCUCCAUGGAGCCUCAUUGGCAGGAUGAUAUGGAGUUAGACGAUGAGGUUGACGACACGCAGUCCCUGCCAGAGCCAGUACCCCUAACCAAACAUGAGUCAGAAAUGGAUUACUUAAGCAAGCCGGCUCUUCAGAGCACUGAUAGAACGGGAACGGGAAGAGGCAUGUAAGCAAUGCCAAAUACCCCAGAGCCAAGGCAGCGUAGCUCCAGCUUGGGAGGGAGAAAUGUAGGAGUUGAGCAAGAAAAAACCUAUAUGAUUGGUCUUUUGCACCUGGCUGCUUGGCACUUAGAUUAUCUAUGUGGUCUCGUCACUUGCGACUUAUUUAAUACCUGUUUUGAACUCUGCUACCAUGUCAGUUGUUCGGGCUUUGUCAUUGCUGGAACCUUGCAGAAUUAUGUUUUAGUAGCAUUCUUGGUU